GCUUCUAGAAGCAAAAUGGAUCGCACGACAUAUAUCUUGAUUUGAUGGCACAAUAACUGCUUAUCUGUUACCUUCCAACUCAACCUGGACUUGGUUAGCAGUGACUUCAAGGCUUCUAGAACUCGGUUUGGAUCUGAUGGUGGGUUGAAUGCCAUCAGAAAAAGUUGAAUGAUAUACUAACUUGCUGUCCAAAUAUGACACAGUUUUGCCUUGCUAUUGUAUUCUCGGUCUUUGAUUUCCUCGU
rnacentral:lncRNA from 1 species